CAUUAAAACACCGGUUUCUGUAUAAUCACCGAAGUUAAGCAACGUCGAGCCUGGUCAGUACCUAGAUGGGUGACUGCUUGGGAAUUCCAAGUGCUGUCAG